GACGAACGCUGGCGGCGUGCUUAACACAUGCAAGUCGAACGGAAAGGCCCUGCUUUUGUGGGGUGCUCGAGUGGCGAACGGGUGAGUAACACGUGAGUAACCUGCCCUUGACUUUGGGAUAACUUCAGGAAACUGGGGCUAAUACCGGAUAGGAGCUCCUGCUGCAUGUUGGGGGUUGGAAAGUUUCGGCGGUUGGGGAUGGACUCGCGGCUUAUCAGCUUGUUGGUGGGGUAGUGGCUUACCAAGGCUUUGACGGGUAGCCGGCCUGAGAGGGUGACCGGCCACAUUGGGACUGAGAUACGGCCCAGACUCCUACGGGAGGCAGCAGUGGGGAAUAUUGCACAAUGGGCGGAAGCCUGAUGCAGCAACGCCGCGGGCGGGAUGACGGCCUUCGGGUUGUAAACCGCUUUCGCCUGUGACGAAGCGUGAGUGACGGUAAGGGGUAAAGAAGCACCGGCUAACUACGUGC
rnacentral:rRNA from 1 species